UUGAGAUUUUGGAGUGGAUGAAUUGACUGAUGCUUUGCAUUAGUUAGGUCUCUAAGGAUGCAAACCUUCAGCAGAUCGAUAGAAGGGCUGGACGAAACCCUAGUUCUUCAUCUUGCGAGUGGGUUUGUGACGGAAUCUACAUCAGUGCCAACAUUGUGAAGUCUUCUUCGAAGACUAAUUUGUUGCUGAGAGAGGAAGACAUUUCAGUCUUUCUUAUUUGUGCUUCAUUGCUGGCCAAAGGCCAACUCAUGCUAGGGUUUGAAUUGGAGAUCAUUGGAGACAACUUUGGUGAUAAGAAUCUUCAACAACUUGGCAACAUAAGAAGCUGAUUACAUCUCAGAAUUCUGAGUUUAUUAUCAGACAUUUUUAGUCAUAUAUUAGGUUUGCCAUGGGGGCCGACCAGACCUAUCAAACCCCACAUUUUUGUUCGUAACUUCUGAUUGAAGACUUAGAAUUUUGUGGGUAUUGGUGCAUUGGAUUCUUAUUUCCGAGACAAUCAUUUCCAUCACUCAUUUGGCACUGAAGACUGCUGAUAUUAUUUUAUAUUUCACUCAGAUCAGAACAGGGGCGAUUUUGAUAGAGGCUUCAUUUCGGCACAUAGGAGGCACAAAGACAACCGAUAUUGCUUGUUUCUUCAUCUACACUUCUAGGCGCUUCACUCAGAUCGAUGACGUCGAGAAAGGCUAAGGUGACAACUUGAGGCGCAAAUUGAGGACUUGAUCGCGAUCAAAGCCAAGAAGCGAAGAUGCAGGAGUGCAGGAUUAAAAUGACAAAGCACGGGGAAGCGCGCCACCACAUGAACCACAAAGUUGAAGACCCAACAAGAUUGAUGACAAAAGAACACACAUAAUACUACAAAGCAUGCAUUAUGAGAAAUACACAGCUGGAAUUAAUUCUAGAAAACUAGUUUGUAAACUGAACUGCUUUAUUGUAAAAGGACUGCCUGUGGGCCUCGUUCAAGACAUUUUAAAACAAAGGGACACAAGUCAAUUAUGCUUCAACUACGUGAUUGACCAAAUUGAUGUCAAAUAGUGGUCGGUAGCUGGAAAAGUGGUUGGGAGGACAACUGAAGAUAACUAGGCAUGAGUUAAAGCUGCCAAGUUUCUAGAAGGCAGGUCAGGGCCUUUGGAUGCAGUCAAUCCUGGCCUUUGAUUCAAAUUGUAAAAUCUAUAAAAGGCAGGAGCCUUUCUAUUGUAAAGGGUUAGAUAGUUAGAAGGGAGAAAGUUAGAGGAUUAGUAGUUAGAGUUAGUUAGAUUUUUAGGAGUUAGAAGUUAGAUGCAAUUUUCAGAUUAGAAGUAGAGUAGAACUGCUGCAAGAAAUUGUUGUAAUAACAGUUGAAAUCAAUAUAUGAACAUUGAAUU